rnacentral:rRNA from 1 species
UACGUAGGGUGCAAGCGUUGUCCGGAAUUAUUGGGCGUAAAGGGCUCGUAGGCGGUUUGUCGCGUCGGGAGUGAAAACCCAGGGCUUAACCCUGGGCUGGCUUCCGAUACGGGCAGACUAGAGGUAUGCAGGGGAGAACGGAAUUCCUGGUGUAGCGGUGAAAUGCGCAGAUAUCAGGAAGAACACCCGUGGCUAAGGCGGUUCUCUAGUACGGUACUGACGCUGAGACGCGAAAGCGUGGGGAGCGAACGGG